AUGAAUAUCCUGAGUUGGAACUGUUGAGGAGGUGGGAACCCUCGGACAGUUCGUGAUCUCGUGAGUCUAGUACAGGCUCACUCCCCUAGUGUCAUUUUUCUUUGUGAAACUAGGCAGUCGAAAAAUAAAAUGAAGAGAUAUCGUGCUCGGUAAGGUCUUAGUGGUUUUGAUGCUUUUGAUAGUGUUGGUCUUAGUGGUGGUCUUGCCUUGUUUUGGCACGAGUCGUUGAGUCUUGAUGUAAAAACAAUAAAUGAAAGAUAUAUCGAUGCGUAUGUGAAUGGUGUGGCGGGUGAGCCACCCUGGAGGCUUACUUGCGUCUACGGCGAACCCCGUACGGAGGACCGUCAUUGCAUGUGGUCAUCCCUACGGGAUCUUCAUCAACAGACCGAUAUGCCGUGGGUUGUCAUCGGCGAUUUUAAUGAAGCCAUGUGGAGUUUUGAGCACUUCUCCGAAACCCCACGUGGGGCAGGUCAGAUGAUUGAUUUUCGUGAUGUUCUUGAAGUUUGUGGGUUGGGAGACCUUGGUUUUGCAGGCCUUCCUUACACAUAUGACAAUCGCCGAGGAGGGCGGGCGAACAUCAAGGUUCGCCUUGACCAUGCUGUGGCAAACAAUGGCUAG
rnacentral:rRNA from 1 species